UGUUUUUAAAAAUUCGCUAAUAGUUUCAAAAUUUUGCUUGGCCAGUUCGGCAAUAACAUUGGAGCUUUGCGUAGGCUAUCGUCGUCGUCGUUAUAAUGCAAUAAUAGGACUACAAAUCGACUAGAACAAAAAUCAAAUAAAAAUAACUAAAAUAAAACGUAACAAAAAUGAGCCAACGCCAAAGCUAACCUCAAGGAAUCGAACACAAUAAAACUCAGACACAACUGCAGCAUCAGGUAUAUACACACAUAUAUAUUCAUAAUCGGACGGACGACUACGGCGAAGCAACUGCGCCAGCAAAAUGUCCACAGCAACCGCCAAGCAGAAGCAGCCACGCGCUGCCAGCGAGGAGAGCAUGUCGCCCAAGAAGAUGGGCGUGAUUGCGCUGGUCACUGUGGUUGGCUGCGUGGCCAUCCUCUGGCCAAAGGUGUUCCACCCCAUGAUGUUUGGCGGCACGCCGCCUAAGCCGAGCUACAAGGAUCAGCCACAACGCGGCAUGCCUGGCGGUUGCUGCGAUGUCGUGCUUGACAGGGAGCAGUUCAUGAAUGCUUCGAAGCCCAGCGUCGAGCCAUUUGGCCCCCAUUUGUAUCGCAAGCAGAUCAAUUUGUACACGGGCGAAAUAAGCCUACGUCAGGAACGGCCCGCCCACCUGCAUCCGGAAUCCAUUUAUCAGGCAAUGCGUGAGCGUGGGCGUGCAAUACCCGCCACGCCCACCGUGCCCAUAGUGGAGCGCAAGACUUCGCCGAGUAAUCCACCGCCGCGCAUCGUUGACGGACGGCCGGGACCCAUUCCUGGCAUGCGGCCGCCAAUGGGCGCGGGCGCCUUCCACCAGCCACAGCAGCGGGCGGGCAGCAGCAUGGGCUUCCUGAUGCCACUCUAUACGAUCGGAAUUGUGGUGUUCUUUGGCUAUACGAUUAUGAAGAUUGUUUUCAAGAAACAAAUACCAAAUGCUCCAUAUGGACCCACUCCAGGGGAUCCCAGCUUCCGCCGUGAUGUCUUCGAGCAACAGAAUCACAGUCAAGUGGAGGACUUGAAUGGCACCAAAUUGGGAACUGCAACGAGUGCAGCGACUGCGGCGGCAACGGCGAAUGGCAGACGCAACGACAAGGAGCUCUACAAUGCCACCUUGUCGGCCACGGAGCUGGCCACGAAUCUGUCCAGCACACUGAAGGCCCACCAGCAGCAGUGCCAUGCGCCCAAGUCCCUGGCCGAGGUGGAGAAGACGCUGUUCAAUAAGGAGACGGAGCAGCUGAUGGAAAUUGAAAAGCUGCGCAAGAAGCUCGAGGAUACCGAACGCGAGAUGGCCAAGUUGAUAGCCGAAAUGAACACCGAUCAGUAUGAGGCCAAGAUGAUUGCUAUGACGUUUCUCAAGCGGCAGCAAAAUUUCUAGUGCAAACCCAACAUUUUAGUUACUAUCAGAUCACAGAGAAUAGACCAAACUAAGUACAAGUCAUAACAACCGGACGACAUCGAAAAAACGAAUUUGACAAAUGUA
rnacentral:misc_RNA from 1 species